rnacentral:sRNA from 1 species
ACUGUAGGCAUGCACCACUGAAGCCAGCUCAUGUUUCAUUUUUUAAAUCCUGACUUUUAAAAAAUAUUUACCAGAAGCCCAAACCUCACCAUAAUCCUGAUUUUUUUCUCCUUUUUCUUAAUUAUGUUUGCCAGUGUUUGUCUAUUUUUAAUUAGUCUUUGCAUAGACCAUCUAUUAUGUUGUUCUGAAUUUCUCAUCAAGGUGUGUAACUUUUACUCCUUGUGUAAUCAGCAGAUACCUGACAUUCUCUGUUUCUCCUUCUAGAAAUGUGAUACCUCAAAGCACAAAGUGCUGGUAGUGUCUGUGUGUCCUCAAUCUUUGCCUUAUUUUGCUGCUAAAUUCAACCUCAGUGUAACUGAUGCAUCCAGAAGACUCUGUGGUUUCCUCAAAAGUCUUGGGGUGCACUAUGUAUUUGAUACGACGAUAGCUGCGGAUUUUAGUAUCCUGGAGAGUCAAAAAGAAUUCGUGCGUCGCUAUCGCCAGCACAGUGAGGAGGAACGCACCCUGCCCAUGCUGACCUCUGCCUGUCCUGGCUGGGUCAGAUACGCCGAGCGGGUGCU